GACGAACGCUGGCGGCGUGCCUAAUACAUGCAAGUAGAACGCUGAAGCGAGGAGCUUGCUCUUCUUGGAUGAGUUGCGAACGGGUGAGUAACGCGUAGGUAACCUGCCUUGUAGCGGGGGAUAACUAUUGGAAACGAUAGCUAAUACCGCAUAACAAUGGAUGACACAUGUCAUUUAUUUGAAAGGGGCAAUUGUUCCACUACAAGAUGGACCUGCGUUGUAUUAGCUAGUAGGUGAGGUAAUGGCUCACCUAGGCGACGAUACAUAGCCGACCUGGGAGGGUGAUCGGCCACACUGGGACUGAGACACGGCCCAGACUCCUACGGGAGGCAGCAGUAGGGAAUCUUCGGCAAUGGGGGCAACGCUGACCGAGCAACGCCGCGUGAGUGAAGAAGGGUCUCGGAUCGUAAAGCUCUGUUGUAAGUCAAGAACGGGUGUGAGAGUGGAAAGUUCACACUGUGACGGUAGCUUACCAGAAAGGGACGGCUAACUACGUG
rnacentral:rRNA from 1 species